UACCAGCACCCCGAGUGGUCGGCACGAUUAUUGGGCCUAAAGCAUCCGUAGCCGGUUCUACAAGUCUUCCGUUAAAUCCACCUGCUUAACAGAUGGGCUGCGGAGGAUACUAUAGAGCUAGGAGGCGGGAGAGGCAAGCGGUACUUAGUGGGUAGGGGUAAAAUCCGUUGAUCCAUUGAAGACCACCAGUGGCGAAGGCGGCUUGCCAGAACGCACUCGACGGUGAGGGAUGAAAGCUGGGGGAGCAAACCGG
rnacentral:rRNA from 1 species